rnacentral:rRNA from 1 species
GAUGAACGCUGGCGGCGUGCUUAACACAUGCAAGUCGAACGAAGCUGCCCAAAGGAAGUUUUCGGAUGGAAUUUAGGUAGACUUAGUGGCGGACGGGUGAGUAACGCGUGGAUAACCUGCCUUAUACAGGGGGAUAACGGAGAGAAAUUUCCGCUAACACCGCAUAAGACCACAGCACCGCAUGGUGCAGGGGUAAAAUAUUUAUAGGUAUAAGAUGGAUCCGCGUCCGAUUAGCUAGUUGGUGAGGUAAAGGCCCACCAAGGCGACGAUCGGUAGCCGGCCUGAGAGGGUGAACGGCCACAUUGGGACUGAGACACGGCCCAAACUCCUACGGGAGGCAGCAGUGGGGAAUAUUGGACAAUGGGGGAAACCCUGAUCCAGCGACGCCGCGUGAGUGAAGAAGUAUUUCGGUAUGUAAAGCUCUAUCAGCAGGGAAGAAAAUGACGGUACCUGACUAAAAGC